CCUACGGGGGGCAGCAGUGAGGAAUAUUGGUCAAUGGCCGGAAGGCUGAACCAGCCAUGCCGCGUGAAGGUCAGUGCCCUAUGGGCGUUAAACUUCUUUUGUGCGGGAGCAAUAAUGGUCACGUGUGGCCAGACGAGAGUACCGUACGAAUAAGCAUCGGCUAACUCCGUGCCAGCAGCCGCGGUAAUACGGGGGUUGCAAGCGUUAUCCGGAUUUAUUGGGUUUAAAGGGUGCGUAGGCUGUGAGGUAAGUCAGCGGUGAAAUGCCCCCGCUCAACGGGGUGAAGUGCCAUUGAUACUGCCUGGCUGGAAUGCGGAUGCCGUGGGAGGAAUGUGUGGUGUAGCGGUGAAAUGCAUAGAUAUCACACAGAACACCGAUUGCGAAGGCAUCUCACGAAUCCGCGAUUGACGCUGAUGCACGAAAGCGUGGGUAUCAAACAGGAUUAGAUACCCGGGUAGUC
rnacentral:rRNA from 1 species